rnacentral:lncRNA from 1 species
AGAAGUAUUUUCUGCAGGGCUGGGCGGAGGAGGCGAUGAGUGCAAAGCAGGCAGGCUGCAUCCUCGCAGGGGCACAGCCCUGUGCCUCCCUCCUAACCGCGGCUGGCGGGGCUUCAUGUGCGCCCGCCCUUCGUGUGGAGUCAGCAAGGCCCGGCGCGUGAGGGCCUGCGGUGGCCCUGAGGAGACCGGGGCCGCGGCUCCUGGGGCUCAGGGGGCUUCCCCUGCCUGGAUACCGCGACCUCAGGGUUAAGGCUGUUUCCUGUCUCAAGCUGUAGCCUCAGUCACUCUGUAAAAUCUCCACAGGAGGGAAAAGGGUAACCGCAGAGGGAGGAAGGCUGACAUCGAGGUGCCUCCUCUGGAAGCAGAGGACGGCCGAGGCCUAGCCCCGAUGGAGCCACUGUCGCAGAACUGCAGCAGGACGCUGUGGAGCCUGAAGCUUCCGGCCGUGAUGAAGAGAGGAUGGAACCGAGGCUGCAGGGGUACCAGGAAUAACGUUUCACCGGAGGACAGAAUUGCUGUCUGGUAACUGAUUUCUUGCUUUUUGAUGCGGUCUCCGCCCCACCCGACGCCUCUGUCGCAGCUCUCUCCUGUCUCCUCGUUCCUGGCCUUGGCAUCCUAAGUCUGGCCUCGUGCCUCUUGCCUUUCUUCUGCUGGCUGGUGUCACAUUCCAACUGUGCGCCUUGAAUGCGGGCGCGUCUUUGCUCCCUUGGUUGACAGGGGUCAGGCGGGGGCUCUCGAAGGAUGUGCAAAUGCAGGAAACAUCUCCAGGGACGGUGACUUUGAUAGAGCCCUGCAUUUCUAAGGCAGGAAGGUAUGGAGAACAGCUGCACAGGUGUGGAAAGAGACGGUCCUCUGAAUGCCGGGCCUUUAAAUCCAGGACAGCCGGACUCUUCUCAGCAACCCCCUGACCUCACCUGACCUUUGCUGUGGCUACACAGAUGGGGCGAGAACUCACUUCCUAUUUCCUAUCGCUUUCUCCAUUUUCUUCCCACCAUUCCCUCCUUCAAGUGUGUCCUAAAGGAAAUAAUGCACUGGGCUUCUGUUCUUUCUUUCCUUUUUUUUUUUUUUUUUCCCUCUUUUCAUCAAACAGUAUGACUGGUAAAAAAUUCCAUGUCAUAUAGACAUGUUUCUUCCUUGUAGCUGCUGCUUAGUAAUCACUAACAUGAAACCGUUUACUCCACCAUUUUCCUUCUAGGUUUUCCCAUUUUCCAUGAUUAUCAACAGUGUUCCAAACAUCCUCUCCUCUGCCCUCCCUCUGUACCUUCAGUGGUUUCUCUGAGUAGAGGUGGAGAUUCAGUUUGGGGCAGGAAAUGGGGAGGUAACUGACAUGGACUAUAUAGAACUUUGGUUCAGCAAAGCCACUCAACAAAGAUUUAUUGGGCGCCCACUAACUUCAAAAUGCUAUUCAAGGUACCAGGGUUACAGCAAAGGAAUAACAGCGAGAACUCCCUUAACACUGGAGCUGUAAGCACACACACACACACACACACACACAUCUGGUCCACAAGAAAGGUCUCAGGCCAGGUGUAAUUUGUAAUUUUUUAUCUGGCUCAUAAGCCACUGCAGUUUGCCUGUUCCAUUUUUAGUUCAGUUUGGCGUGUGCUGCCCAUGCCCCCUCGGGUCUGCAUCCCCACCAAAGCAUGACAUUCUGAUUGUGUCAGCAAACCUCGGGCUGCAGGUUUCCUGGUCUUAGCACACAACAUACCCGUCUCAGCCUCCUUCGGUGAUGGGGGCGCCAGGCUUCCACAGGUGGACCUGUGGACCUGUACUGGCUGAAGUCACCCAGGAAUUUUACUUGCCGCUGUCCUUUCAUUUGGGGUCAGGUCGUUUCUGAGGCCUGUUUCCUCGAUAUCUAUUAAACUUUUGUCAGUCAUCAAUUAACUUCCUUUCUCUUGGCAUGCGGAAGUUUCAGGGCCAGGGCUUGAACCUGUGCCAUAGCAGUGACCCAAGCCACAGCUGUGACAAUGCUGGAUCCUAACCCGUUGUGUUACCAGGGAACUCCAUCAGUUAAACCCUUCAGUGAAUUUUCUUUUCAGGUUAUUUUGGUCCUACAAGAGGACCCUGCGGCUGUAGAGUGGGAUUAAUGCCAAAGGCCUAAAAAGGUGUAAAGCAGGAAAUGACCCUGUCCUUGGUCGGUCGUUAUGGGUUGGAUGCCAAAGGGGGGGCAUGAGACAUGAUUCAAGUCUUACCUCUUCGCUCCUGUUUCCGUCUUUACUUUCUCAAGCCUGUGCUUUCCUGCCACAUCUUUGCCGUUAAUUUCUUCAGUUUGGGUUCUGCAGGGGAAGAAAUGAAGUAUUUAUUUUCCUCUUUGUUUCAGGGAAGGUUGAAAGUGAGACUUGUAAGAGCCUAAAGGAAUGUCGUAAGGAAAAGAGGUGGCUUCGCUUGGUUUUUCUCCCCUCAGAAGUGAGUCAGGGGCCGUUCAUUCAAAGUGGGAGUGUUUAGAGUCAUGUCUCAGUGGCAUGUGUGACAGGUGUACCCUACCAGACUUGGCAUAGUGAAGAGGCACAGUCUGUGAAGUGGGGGGAAAGGCUUUUUUUUUUCCUCUCAGAAUUAUUAAAGUAGGUGCCAUUUCCAUGGCAUUAUUUUAAAUAUAAACCUGACCGGAGGCCAGUGGUCAAACUAGGUAUUGGCUAGGUAUUGGCUUCAUCAAAAUACUCAAGAGUUUGUGGCAUGAAUGAUCGAAUGGCCUUGUGAUGCUUAAGAAAGGCAGCAGUUAUUUCCUUACUAAGAUGGAAAUGUAUGUAAGUGUAUUAAGAGAAGUUUUGUAUGAACAACUUCUUCCCUUUGAAAUUUAAUUUGUAAUACAGAUAAAACCUGCAAAAACUACAGGAAGCAAUUCAGUUGGAUCUAAAUCUGAGCCUACAGUUUUUGGAAGCCUGUCAUUCUCAGGAAUAGCAGUAAGGCUCUCUUAAUAAAUCUACAAAACUGGAGGUAUAAUCAAAUCAUCUGGGGUUUUUUUUUUUUUUUAAAUUAGAACUCUUGUUCAUUAGAAUUUAAAGUUCAAAAAGGGGAUUACAAUUAUUAAAGCAGCAAUAUGCCCAGCCCAAGGGGAUGGAUCAUGAUUUUUCUAGGCCUUUCAUGUUACUCCUCCUCAUCCAGAUGUUUUUCCAGCCUUUCCUCUGAAGAUGGUCAUGUGACCCAGUUUGGGCCAAUAACAUGUCAUGGAAAGUCUGGGAAACUCUCAGGAAUUUUUCCCCCCCCUGAUUAAAGGGAAGCUCUUUUCAACUCCUUUUUUUCCUUUUUUUUUUCCUCCCCUGUUCCUAACACUAGUUAAUGGGAUCUGGAUCUAUGGCAACGAUCUUGCACACGUGAGGUGAAAAGUACAAAGAUGAACACCCACCAUGUUAAAUCAGAGCAGAAAAAUGGAAGGAACCUGUCUCCCAGAUGAUGUUCUUGAGCCACUGAAUCACUGCCAGUAACCAUAUUCCUCUGAGCAUUUUGAGCAAACAAACCUUGAUUGCUUGUGGCUCUAUUAGUCAAGGAUCCUGUUACUUUCAGCUAAAAACGUUUCUAGUUGACAUAUUCCAAUCCUAUCCAGAUCAGGCCGCAGAUCCAUUUUCCAGGUAUGCCUCCCUCUCUUGAUUUAGAAUGUUUUCUUUUCCUCCCCUGCGCCACUUCUGCAUGUAUCCUGAAAUAUUCAGUCACCUCCUCUUUGAAGGUUUUGCUGAUCUUUCAUCUGUCUUUCUGAAGCACAUUGCUAACACCUCCCGUAAAGCAUGUUCCAUUUUUGCGUGGCCAUGUACUCACCUGCUGCUUCUGUAGAUUCUGGUAUCCGUUGGAAGGGCAAAGGCCACAGCUCAUUCCCCAUCUCCUGCCUAAAUUGGGCCUUUACAUAUAAGGGAGUUGAGGGGAGGAGUUAGGGUGGGAGGUGGCGUUCUCACAACUGCCUGUUGAAUAUAUGCUAAGACUGAGGAGUCUGCAGAUUAAAAAGCCACCCUUAGCCCUCCCUGUAAACAUCUGGAAAGUAUUAUCCUUACAAAUGAUUUUGUAAAUACUCCAGGAAAUUGGCUUCUACUACCAUUCCAGCAGCUAGUGGAGCCAGUUUGGCUUCAGGUCUUAGAGAAAUGAUUUGUCAUCUGUUUCAUUUGUUCGCUUUUUCCUGACAGAGCUGGAAUUCUGGAUUGUUCCCCACUUAAAAAGCUGCCGAAGCCAAACCAGAAGUAGACAGGGCAGGAUGUGUGGCCCUUCCUUCCCACUCAUUUCACAGGGUAAAAAUUCACAGGCAGUUUUCCUAGAAUUACAUUUUGUGACUGGAUUUUCAAUAGCAUAUUAUGAUUUUUUUUUUCCCCUAUAAGAGAGAGGAUCUUAUAUAUUUGAGAGGGAAAAGCUUGGAAUUACCUUUAUCAGUACAGGCAGAGCCCUAACAAAUGGCUCCUUCUGAUAUUCAUUUUUAGGAGGAAAAGAGGGAAAUUAAAAUGUAUGAGAUGCCUCUGGUAUAUCAUAGAUUGUUUACAUCUCAUUCAAACCCUACAGCCUGAUAAUAGAUAUUAUUCUGUUUUACUGGUGAAAGAACUGGUAAUUUUCCCUAGGUGGCAAUACUGGCAGUGGAGCUCAGACCUUCAGUAGUUGGAAGUUUAAAUUUUGUUUUUCUCAGAACAUAGCAAUUCUUCCCAAGGAGUGCCAUCUUCACUCCCUUCUGUUAAAGAUAAUCAUAAUAUUGUAAUAAAAACUUUGC